CUUGCUCUGGGGAUUAGUGGCGAACGGGUGAGUAACACGUGGGCAACCUGCCCCAGACACCGGGAUAACCAUUCGAAAGGAUGGCUAAUACCGGAUACGACCACUUCGGGCAUCCGAUGGUGGUGGAAAGGAUUCUGGUCUGGGAUGGGCCCGCGGCCUAUCAGCUUGUUGGUGGGGUAAUGGCCUACCAAGGCGACGACGGGUAGCCGGCCUGAGAGGGCGACCGGCCACACUGGGACUGAGACCCGGCCCACACUCCUACGGGAGGCAGCACUGGGAAAUAUUGCGCAAUGGGCGAAAGCCUGACGCACCGACCCCGCGUGAGGGACGAAGUUCCUCCAUUGUAAACCUCUUUCCCCACGCAUGAAGCGAAAGUGACAUUACCUCC
rnacentral:rRNA from 1 species